GAAGCCGGGCUCCCCUGGCAUUGGAGCGGGGAGCUGGCCGAGCCCCGGCGCUGCCAUCUGCUCGCGGACAGCGCAGCCUCUGCCCGCACCUGGCCCCAGGGCGGCUCCGCUCGGCCGCCCCGACUCAAAGCCGGCGCUCUGAAACCACUUGCAAAAUACUCGCUCGCUGCUCUGGAGGAGACCACGGGACCUGUCCUUUCACGUAUCGAGCCAGUUAGAUUCGUCGUCGUCGUCCUCCUCCUCCAGCUAGACCCAGAGAAACAAAUUAGUUUGGACUUUUAUUCACAAAGAACACAGGAGAGCUGCAUUCCUCCUCAGUAUGACUGACCUGACCCACCUCUGCCGGCGACUGCAGGGGCUGCAUUACAUCCCGUACCGUAAGGGCUGAAAAACUCUACACAGAAAUACCUUUAUUCCUCAGAUGUAAAACAGCUGCAAAGAAUCAUAUGUGGAACAUGCUGUGAACUGGAUGAAGGAAUUCAUCUGGCCAUAGAUAACAUUUUCCUCAAGAAGGAAAACAGCAAGAAACACAAAACUAAGGGGGAAAACCCCCACAAAACAAACAAAAAAUACUUCAAACAAAACCCAUACCCAAUCCAGGGUCGGGAAAAAUUGGAAGAGGGAAAAGAGGGGCAGGAAUACUGUAAAUCCAAAUGGCCCCUGGACAACACAAAUUUUGAAAUCCUACUCCAGGUUUACCAAAAGAGCAGACUUGGAUACUCCUUUGGCACAUGUGAGCGUUGAUACCUGAGACCCCUCAUCUGGUGCAGUCCGCACUUCAGAGAGCAGUGGCCCCCAGCACUGCUGCAUCUCCCCGUCCUGUGGCUGCGGGGAACGUAAAUCACACCCGUACAGGCUGCCCUGGUUACCGACAGCGGAGGAGGGAGCAGUUCAAGGGGACCUAAAUGUGCAAACGUACCUGCACUGGAACCAAAGAAGGCUUAAAAGCGGGCAAAGCGAAUAACUUCAGUGAAUUCCCCCUUUUCCAUCAGCGCGAUCCCGCCCGGCGCUCGCCGCUCCGCCGGCGCCCUCUCGCGGCCGCCCGGGGCAUAAACGCAGGCGCGGAAGCUCCGCGCACGGGUUCGCCCCGAGCUCAGGUACCCAUUACCCUGUGUGAACACUCCGAACCACACGCGUACAGCUCCGCUUUACCUGAACCUCGCUCUUUCUUUAGAGACACCACUGAAAACAACCAGUUAGGAAGCGUAACCCUUUGGUCCCCUUCACUAAGUUUGGAAAGGCGGAAGCUAAAAAGAUGAAGACUUGCUCAAAAUGUAAAUAAAGACCUAUCAGCUUUGAGAGAGUAAAUGGAUUGGAGAUGCAGGGAGAAAUGCUGGCUCAAGUGAACUGGAAAUAAAACUAAAGCAGGGGGUAGAAAAUAAAAAGGAGAAAAAGGAGGCCAUACCAGUAAAAAUAUGAGGGAAAAAAACAAUGAAUAAAAGGACAUUAAAUUAUUUCUCAGAGACAUUUUGCUUCAUCAUCUGCAUGGAUUAAGGGUACAUACCUAGUUGUUGCAGGUCAGAUGAUAUGCAGAAACUCAUCAAACCUCUGUAAAAUUGCUUCAGCAUGUUGGCUGUUAUCAUACAGAAUGGGAGAAAUUUCACAGCACCCUGCAUUUCCCCUCUAAAGCAACUGGAGCAAAUUCUGGAAUGAAAUGACUGGAUGAAUGGUCUCUAGUCCAGUGGAACCGUACAGUCGCUGUAACACUUUAGCACAGUUUCGUGUUCUAACUGCUUCACCAUUCUGGCACCUGCUCCAUAUCUUUUCCUGUGUCGUGCCUCAAUGAUCCCCCUUCUACAUUCAUCCUUAAGUUAUCUUUGGGAAAUGCAUAGAUCUUUUUUCUGAUUCUUAGAUUUGGUUGUUCUGCAGCUGUGGGAGAUACAGGAGCAAAAAGAAGUGAAUGAAGCAGAAGGGCACAAAAGAAACUUCUUGUUAUGUUGGAGAUCAUAUCACAUUGCAGUUUGGACUUCUUUAUGGGAAAAAAUAGCCCUAUGCACUGUAGAACUAAACAAAAAAAGGCAGGAAGACAGCAGGAUACCUGGUGUGGUGGCCAAAUGGAGAGCACACACAGCUGAGAGCAGCGUGCACUCAGAUCAAAUCUUGAUUACAAUCAAGAUUAAGUUUUUACAGUCUGUGACAUUGCUGUCUUGAUUCUUAUUGCACUAAGUAACAAGCCUGACAGAUGAAUCACUAUGAAAUGUUUUCUUAGUCAAUUGAAACAGAGGUUACUGUUGACAUGCUACAGGUACAAAUUCUCUUCAGUCUCAACAGUGACAUAAGAGAGCCCUCCCUGGAUCACUUAAUUACUGUUACUGCAAAACGUACUUGCUGCUUGUACUACAGCAGCACGAGGAGUUUCUUCAGGACAGUGUAAGUGGGGUAGAAGAGGAUGGGACAAUACCUGUUAGUCCUAUCCUACAGCAAUCCUGGGAGGAGUCUGCGCAGUCCUGGGAGCAACUGAUCACUGUGAAGAGACCCUGUUAAAUUUCAGUAGAGCUCAGUGAGAAGGAAGCUUAUGAGAAUGGAAAGCAGCCACACAGCCAGGUUUCUGCUGGGACAAAAAAGAUGAUAUUUCUCCUAGACUUCUGUGGGUUUUGUAGGUGUUGAAUCCAGGCAGCCAGGGACAAGUUGCUGGAACAAGAGGGAGCCUAAAGCAGAGAUACUGUCAUGAAAUGACUCAGGAAUCACAAGAUAAUGUGCAUACAAAUUCAUCUAUUCUUUCCUAUCCUUCUAUAUCUAUUGUCUCAUUCCAAAACGUUCUGUUUGACAAAGUUAACCAUUCUAGUUCGUAAUCUAAUCAAACUUACAAAGCUUACAAGUCCUUUUUAAUGUUCUUGGUGGGACAGCUUAAUGAGUUUCACUUUUACAUGGAAGCCCAGGAUGUUUUAGUUUAAUGCCGUUACUUCAGCUCUGUCUCCUCUUUGAGGUACAUCAUGUAAUCUAGCAAUUAUGUAAAUUUUAAUACUGGCAGCCUAUGGAAAAUUGUUACAACUAAGAACGGAAGAUCAAAUAUUUCUACUGGCUUGAUCAUAAAAUGCAGACAAGGAGAGGUGCAGACAUUUGUGCCCUCACCUGCAUCCCCAGCCAGGCAGACACAAGCGGUAUCAGUGUGGAAGCAGGGUAACCAUAGCAUAAGUGUAAAUCCACCCCAAGUGUGCCUGAAGCCACUCGCCUUGGGGAGGCCACACAAACUGCUGUGCUUCAGCAGGUGCCAUGGGACAAGUGGGAAGGUCUGGGAGCAGUUUAAGCCAUGGGUUCUCCACUAGUCCAAGUAUUUAACCUACUGCUCUGCUCCUGUGCAGUGCAAUGCACACCUACAGACUCAACUCCUGGUGCAUGAAGAACAGGAAAACCUGGAGAGAAAGGUCAAAGUGAUGAACCAGAACAGGAAGAUAUCAAAUUGAAACUGAAACUGGGAGAUAAAAUGAGCCAAACUAAUUCUGUUUAUAGCAGCCUUUGGAGUUUAUAGGUUUCCUGGCAGAGCUGCCCUUAUCCGAUUUAUGUGGUUAUUGAAGUAGGAGUCUUUGGUGCUCAUACAUUUUACGUGACAAGACACUACGUAAGUGCUCUCUGGUGUACACUCCUGUUCCUUGAGAAUUCUUCAAAUCAGACUUAAUACAUCCUAGUUUAAAAGAGCCAUGAAAGGACUUAAGCACCAGAAAAGAGAUUUGGAUAAGAUUUCAGUACAAAAAUCUGAUUCUACUUAUUCCCUCAUUCUGAUAUUUAGAAUGUAUAAUUGCUUACAUUUUCAGCAGUAAAGCUUAGCCAUGAGUCUAGAUCAGUAACAAGGAUCAAAGUCAAUGAUCCCAACAUAUACAUUUUUAAAUCUUUGCGAAAAUUUGCCACACUGCUUCAAACCUUUACAGCUUUUACACUCCCUGUAUGGAUUUUGGUGGGUUAAUUCUGAUCUCACAUUCAUUUUACAGUACUGUAAUUAUAUGCACUUCAAUGGAGUUACAUCUAGGCCUUCAUAACUUAAAAU